UCCAGAUCGCGAUGAUUCUGAUCCCAAAUAUCGCAAUUCCUAUUAAAUAUAUAGAUUCCCAAUGAUACAGGUAACCAAUUACCCAUCAGGUCCUGAUAAUACAAUACAAAUUCGAGACUUUCUACGUUUCUACAUAAUUUCACAGACAGUGACAAGCCCUUAUUUUGUAUAGACUGUGAAGAAUUUCUAUAAGCAUUCUAUAGCUUAAUACAUUGCUCUAUUAUGGGUAGUAGCUAAAUAAUUACCUAGAGAAAGUUAAGUUUCAUCAUUGCUAAAUAUACACUGUUGAAUAUCCUAUCACCGAUUUAUUGAUGACGAUCAAGAAAUUGUUUUGGAAUUGGAAUUUCAGUUAUUUAUCCAUAUUCUUUUUAUCUUUGUAACCUGAAAUGACUAACUCCACCAAAUGGUUCUUUUCUACCGACUAUCUCAAAAAUAUGAUGACAAAAGAAUAAAUAUCACUGUCUAGUGUAUUUCUGAUAGAUUCAGCACAAUGCCGCAUACCAUGAAGACCGAAAUCAGAAAUUUUUGAAGUAUCCAUCCGGAAGUUACAACACAAUUCGAAGAUUUUAA